CGGUUGAUCCUGCCGGAGGACAUUGCUAUUGGGAUUCGAUUUAGCCAUGCUAGUCGAGCGAGUUCAGACUCGCGGCGAAUAGCUCAGUAACACGUGGCCAAGCUCCCCUUCAGUCAGCGAUACCCUCGGGAAACUGAGGUUAACAGCUGAUACAAAACGCCAACUGGAAUGCGGCGUUUCAGAAAGACAUCGCUGAAGGAUGCGGCUGCGGCCGAUUAGGUAGACGGUGGGGUAACGGCCCACCGUGCCAGUAAUCGGUACGGGUGAUGAGAGUCAGAGCCCGGAGACGGAAUCUGAGACAAGAUUCCGGGCCCUACGGGGCGCAGCAGGCGCGAAACCUUUACACUGCACGGAAGUGCGAUAGGGGAAUCCCAAGUGCGAGGGCAUAUUAGCCCUCGCUUUUCUCGACUGUAAGGUGGUCGACGAAUAAGAGCUGGGCAAGACCGGUGCCAGCCGCCGCGGUAAUACCGGCAGCUCAAGUGAUGUCCCAUAUUAUUGGGCCUAAAGCGUCCGUAGCUGGCCGACCAAGUCUACCGGGAAAUCCACCCGCCCAACGGGUGGGCGUCCGGUAGAAACUGGCCGGCUUGGAACCGGAAGGCUCAGAGAGUACGUCCGGGGUAGGAGUGAAAUCCUGUAAUCCCGGACGGACUACCGAUGGCGAAAGCACUCUGAGAAGACGGCUUCGACAGUGAGGGACGAAAGCUCGGGUCUCAAACCGGAUUAGAUACCCGGGUAGUC
rnacentral:rRNA from 1 species